CAGGGGGGGCCGGUUAAAAUUUGGCAGUCGAGCGAACAGACGAGGAGCUUGCUCCUUUGACCUUAGCGGCGGACGGGUGAGUAACACGUGGGUAACCUACCUAUAAGACUGGGAUAACUUCGGGAAACCGGAGCUAAUACCGGAUAAUAUUUCUAACCGCAUGGUUCGAUAGUGAAAGAUGGCUUUGCUAUCACUUAUAGAUGGACCUGCGCCGUAUUAGCUAGUUGGUAAGGUAACGGCUUACCAAGGCAACGAUACGUAGCCGACCUGAGAGGGUGAUCGGCCACACUGGAACUGAGACACGGUCCAGACUCCUACGGGAGGCAGCAGUAGGGAAUCUUCCGCAAUGGGCGAAAGCCUGACGGAGCAACGCCGCGUGAGUGAUGAAGGUCUUCGGAUCGUAAAACUCUGUUAUUAGGGAAGAACAAACGUGUAAGUAACUGUGCACGUCUUGACGGUACCUAAUCAGAAAGCCACGGCUAACUACGUGCCAGCAGCCGCGGUAAUACGUAGGUGGCAAGCGUUAUCCGGAAUUAUUGGGCGUAAAGCGCGCGUAGGCGGUUUUUUAAGUCUGAUGUGAAAGCCCACGGCUCAACCGUGGAGGGUCAUUGGAACUGGAAAACUUGAGUGCAA
rnacentral:rRNA from 1 species